UGCCAGCCGCCGCGGUAAUACAGAGGGUGCAAACGUUGUUCGGAAUUACUGGGCGUAAAGAGCGUGUAGGCGGCUUGUUAAGUCGGUUGUGAAAGCCCAUGGCUCAACCAUGGAAGUGCGAUCGAUACUGGCAAGCUUGAAUCCCGGAGGGGGUGGUGGAAUUCCCGGUGUAGAGGUGAAAUUCGUAGAUAUCGGGAGGAAUACCGGUGGCGAAGGCGACCACCUGGCCAGAUACUGACGCUGAGGUGCGAAAGCGUGGGGAGCAAACAGGAUUAGAUA
rnacentral:rRNA from 1 species